AAAAGAUGUGUGGCUACUCAAACCAACCAGGAGGUUGGCUUAGAAGCAGCCAUCCUUUAAAGAAAGCGUAACAGCUCACUGGUCUAGUGGUCAUGCGCUGAAAAUAUAACGGGGCUAAGAUAGACACCGAAUUUGUAGAUUGUGUUUGACACAGUGGUAGAAGAGCGUUCAUGCCAGCGUUGAAGGUAUACCGGUAAGGAGUGCUGGAGCGGCAUGAAGUGAGCAUGCAGGAAUGAGUAACGAUAAGAUAUAUGAGAAUUGUAUCCGCCGUAAAUCUAAGGUUUCCUACGCGAUGGUCGUCAUCGUAGGGUUAGUCGGGUCCUAAGCCGAGUCCGAAAGGGGUAGGUGAUGGCAAAUUGGUUAAUAUUCCAAUACCGACUGUGGAGCGUGAUGGGGGGACGCAUAGGGUUAAGCGAGCUAGCUGAUGGAAGCGCUAGUCUAAGGGCGUAGAUUGGAGGGAAGACAAAUCCACCUCUGUAUUUGAAACCCAACCAGGCUCUUUGAGUCCUUUUAGGACAAAGGGAGAAUCGCUGAUACCGUCGUGCCAAGAAAAGCCUUUAAGCAUAUCCAUAUUCGUCCGUACCGCAAACCGACACAGGUAG
rnacentral:rRNA from 1 species